GUGCCAGCCGCCGCGGUAAUACGAACUGUGCGAACGUUAUUCGGAAUCACUGGGCUUACAGGGUGCGUAGGCGGCUCAACAAGUCAGGUGUGAAAGCCCCCGGCUCAACCGGGGAACUGCGCUUGAAACUGUUAGGCUCGAGUCAGCUAGAGGUACACGGAACUUCCAGUGGAGCGGUGAAAUGUGUUGAUAUUGGAAGGAACACCGGAGGCGAAAGCGGUGUACUGGGGCUGGUCUGACGCUGAGGCACGAAAGCCAGGGGAGCGAACGGGAUUAGAAACCCCUGUAGUCC
rnacentral:rRNA from 1 species